AUGGACUUUAUUAUUUUUUUCCUUUUAAUGUGUUUUUCUCCAUCAUGUAUCCUCUCUCAGACAUUACAAGAGUCUGGUCCUGGAACUGUGAAACCCUCAGAGUCACUCAGACUGACCUGCACAGUUUCUGGGUUUGAGCUAACUAGCUAUCAUAUGCACUGGAUCAGGCAGCCUCCUGGGAAGGGAUUGGAAUGGAUUGGAGCUGUGUGGUAUGAUGGGGACACAGAUCUUGCUGAUUCCCAGAAAAGCAGAGUUACAAUUACUAGAGAUACUGGGAAGAAGCAGGUCUACCUCCAAAUGACUGGGAUGGAAGUUAAAGACACUGCCAUGUAUUACUGUGCAAGACACACAGUGACAGAAGAGAAUGAGGAACUCAGACAAUAACUAAAUGUUU